UGAGGAAUAUUGGUCAAUGGACGCAAGUCUGAACCAGCCAUGCCGCGUGCAGGAUGACGGCCCUACGGGUUGUAAACUGCUUUUAUACGGGAAUAAUGUGUCCUACGUGUAGGAUUUUGAAGGUACCGUACGAAUAAGGAUCGGCUAACUCCGUGCCAGCAGCCGCGGUAAUA
rnacentral:rRNA from 1 species